AGAGUUUGAUCCUGGCUCAGGAUGAACGCUAGCGGCAGGCCUAACACAUGCAAGUCGAGGGGUAACAGGUGUAGCAAUACAUGCUGACGACCGGCGCACGGGUGAGUAACGCGUAUGCAACCUACCUUUAACAGGAGAAUAGCCCCGAGAAAUCGGGAUUAAUACUCCAUAUCAUUUAUGAAUCGCAUGGUUUAUAAAUAAAAGUUCCGACGGUUAAAGAUGGGCAUGCGUGACAUUAGCUAGUUGGUGAGGUAACGGCCCACCAAGGCUACGAUGUCUAGGGGUUCUGAGAGGAUUAUCCCCCACACUGGUACUGAGACACGGACCAGACUCCUACGGGAGGCAGCAGUGAGGAAUAUUGGACAAUGGAUGGAAAUCUGAUCCAGCCAUGCCGCGUGCAGGAAGACGGCCCUAUGGGUUGUAAACUGCUUUUGUGUGGGAGCAAUAAGGUCUAUGCGUAGACUGAUGAGAGUACCAUACGAAUAAGCAUCGGCUAACUCCGUGCCAGCAGCCGCGGUAAUACGGGGGAUGCAAGCGUUAUCCGGAUUUAUUGGGUUUAAAGGGUGCGUAGGCGGUUUGAUAAGUCAGCGGUGAAAUAUUUCAGCUUAACUGAAAGGGUGCCGUUGAUACUGUCAGGCUUGAAUAUGGUUGCUGUGGGUGGAAUGUGUGGUGUAGCGGUGAAAUGCUUAGAUAUCACACAGAAUAUCGAUUGCGAAGGCAGCUCACAAAGCCAUUAUUGACGCUGAUGCACGAAAGUGUGGGGAUCAAACAGGAUUAGAUACCCUGGUAGUCC
rnacentral:rRNA from 1 species